rnacentral:rRNA from 1 species
GGCGGCAGGCUUAACACAUGCAAGUCGAGCGGGGAAAGGUAGCUUGCUACUGGACCUAGCGGCGGACGGGUGAGUAAUGCUUAGGAAUCUGCCUAUUAGUGGGGGACAACAUUCCGAAAGGAAUGCUAAUACCGCAUACGUCCUACGGGAGAAAGCAGGGGACCUUCGGGCCUUGCGCUAAUAGAUGAGCCUAAGUCGGAUUAGCUAGUUGGUGGGGUAAAGGCCUACCAAGGCGACGAUCUGUAGCGGGUCUGAGAGGAUGAUCCGCCACACUGGGACUGAGACACGGCCCAGACUCCUACGGGAGGCAGCAGUGGGGAAUAUUGGACAAUGGGGGGAACCCUGAUCCAGCCAUGCCGCGUGUGUGAAGAAGGCCUUAUGGUUGUAAAGCACUUUAAGCGAGGAGGAGGCUACUAGUAUUAAUACUACUGGAUAGUGGACGUUACUCGCAGAAUAAGCACCGGCUAACUCUGUGCCAGCAGCCGCGGUAAUACAGAGGGUGCGAGCGUUAAUCGGAUUUUACUGGGCGUAAAGCGUGCGUAGGCGGCCAUUUAAG